UACAGAGGGUGCAAGCGUUAAUCGGAUUUACUGGGCGUAAAGCGCACGUAGGCGGCUUGGCAAGUCGGAUGUGAAAUCCCUCGGCUCAACCAAGGAAGUGCAUCCGAAACUGCCGAGCUUGAGUACUUAAGAGGAUCGCGGAAUUCCCGGUGUAGAGGUGAAAUUCGUAGAUAUCGGGAGGAACACCAGUGGCGAAGGCGGCGAUCUGGGAAGAUACUGACGCUGAGGUGCGAAAGCGUGGGGAGCAAACAGG
rnacentral:rRNA from 1 species